ensembl:lncRNA
UUACCGGCCACAAAAUGUCUGUUUUUUAUGUUGGGGACAGUGUAAUCCAGGUGUACUUAAUGAACAGAUUGAAUGUGAUGACAGAAAGUGAUCAUUAGCAUGCUAAUUGUGGUUGAUUUUCACAUUUGCUGAUUCUGAGGUAUUAGAUCUACUGUAGAAGUGUUGCUAGUUAGAGGCAGCAAAGUGCCUGGAUUUGAACUGUGGAAAUAGGGCUGUCUGAGCUGAGGUGUUAUGUUUCUGUCUCUCUCUGUCUGCAGGUGCCUGUUGAGAGUCAGCGCCCCCUGCAGGCCAGGCUGAAGCGCAGCAACAGUGUGCAGGAGAUGUUAAGUUCUUCCAAAACCAAACUGUUCAGACAGAGCAGCCUUCAACAACAAAGGGACCUGGAGCAUGGAUUGAAUGAACAGAGGGAUCUAACUAAAGCUAUUGCAAUUCAAGGCAGCAGAGCCCAAACACAGAGCCAGAGCACAGAUGAACAUGCAGGGUAUCAAAAUACACAUCCCUAUUUAUACAAAUAUAUGCCUAGACUUUGUAGCCAUGUAACACUCCAUGAUGUCUGCAGCCCCUCACCAGCAAAUGAAGACAAAAAACAGGAAGUAGAGUUAGCAGUCCACAGGAAGUGGACACACCUCUGCAGCAGAUUGACCAAGACAGCAGAGACAGAGCAAGGUGGAGAUAAAGAUCAGGAUCCAUCUGAGGUCUGAACACUCCUGAUUUUCUCCAAAUGUUUAUUUAAAGUUUCUGUUUGCUAAUGUUUAAUGUGUAGUCAUUUUAAUGUGGGAUUUAUUUUAAGUAAAGAACAUUGUGAUAUUUGUGUGUGUGUGUGAACAGAUCCUCGCUCCAUCUGUGUGUUUGUGGAGUGGAGCUGCUGUUUCUCUCUGUCUCCAGGAGAUUCAAUCCAACAUCUCACAACUCAAAGAACUGCAAAACUCAGCAGUAACAAAGGUGUCAGUAACAAACACACAUAACACACAGGAUUAAUGUUCAUAACAUUUUAAAAAGAUACGUAGCAUAACAUACUCUCUUUUCAAGAUCAGAGUACACAUUCAGUCAAUCCUGUCCAACUCGAAAACAAAUAUAUUUAACUGAACUUUCUGUGUGCAGGAUCAUCAAUCUCUGGAUGAAGGUCUAUUUGAGGUGUUGAGUGGAGUGGAUCUCACUCUCAGCUCGCUCACACACACUCUUAGGUUUCAGCUAGCAACCCUAAAUACUGACAUAUUAAACCAAUUAGAGCAGCUACAGGUAUUUAGCCAUCCAUCAGACCAUCAGUCUGUCACGUCAUUUAUCCAUUACUCUUCAUUUCUUCUCUGAUUUAUAGGGUUUAUCUGCAGAGCUGAUCUCCUUGGGUGCCAUAUUGACCUCCCAUGGAUCAGAGGUCAUAAAGUUGUUAGGUUUGGGUUCAGCGAUAUCAGAGACCUCCACUUGUUUUGACCUGCUGAGGCAGUAUGUAUGUGACGUACAAAAGACUCUCGCUGAUAAACAGGAGCAGCUACAGGAACGAUUAAAACACACGACUCAGCUGCAGGUCAGGUUUUUAUUAGCUUAUUACCAACACAAAGUGAUGAGAUGCAUGUGCAGUCACUUAAAAAUUUUCCUGCAGUUUAAGUUACUAGAAACAUGGUUCAGAAAAUUUGUGCUUAUGUGUUUACAGUGUUAUGUGUCAGCAGCAGUUACAUUUUUGCAGGUUUUAACACCCCAAACCUUCAGAUGUCUCGCCUUCAUAACUGUCACAAAUACUCACACUUGUUUGUUAUGAAACAACUUGUCAUCAUAAUGUCAGACAUAAUGUUCUCUUCAGUCUCAUGUUUAAUCCCAUAAUUCUAUCUCUGCAUUUAAGAUAUUUAUACUCUUUUGUACUUUUAUUUUGACCUUUUUUAUCAAGCAUGACUCAUUUGUAAUAUUUCCUUGUGUGUCGAACCCUGCAGAAGAGAGUGAAAGACCUGCAUGACUCAGUACUAACUAAUACGUCAGUCCUUCACCCUACAACUAAUGGAGAAACCCACUAUGACCUUCACACACAGCUGCAGGUAAGCACACGAGCCAGUGAAUACCACAGCUUGUAACACAUCAGGAUGAGUGUGUGAAGAUUAAACACUACUAGAGAAAUAAUACUCUUUAACAUAUCUGCAAGAAAAAAUUCUGAUGUCUUCCGUGUACAUAGGCUGACUUCGGUGCCACUUCACCUCUCUGCAUUUUAUAAGUUAUGUUUCCUCUGAAAGCCACUCAUAAUGCUAGCCAGGGUUUCUUGCACCAGAAAUAGUUUUUCUUAUUAGUUUUGAUCCACUCAUUUGAAUGGAAAAGCAUCAUUUGUUACUGCAGAUAUGUUGUAUAAUAUCAUUAGGUGUUCACUGUGCCUAAAUUCGAAGAUUUUGACCUUUCUGUAUUUGUGAUUCCACACGAAGGCCAUCACUGGAUGGAAACAGGAAGUGGAGCAGAGUGAGAGAAAUUUGGCAGAACUUAAAGAAGAGAUAGAGAGUCGAGAUCAGCCCUCAUCCCUCACACAGCAGAUCAGCACACUGGAGGUAUGGAUGUCCAGCAUUCAGAAUUUAUUAUAAUAACAAUUCAUUUCCUGUCGCCAAGUAUGGGACACAAUUGUAAUUAAAGUCAGAAUUUACUCAAUAUAAUAAAAUAAAUAUUAAAUUGUAAUAUACGGUAAUA